AUUGAACGCUGGCGGCAUGCUUUACACAUGCAAGUCGAACGGCAGCACGAGUGCUUGCACUUGGUGGCGAGUGGCGGACGGGUGAGUAAUACAUCGGAACGUAUCCUUAAGUGGGGGAUAACGCAUCGAAAGAUGUGCUAAUACCGCAUAUUCUCUGUGGAGGAAAGUAGGGGAUCGAAAGACCUUAUGCUUAUGGAGCGGCCGAUGCCUGAUUAGCUUGUUGGUGGGGUAAUGGCCUACCAAGGCGACGAUCAGUAGUUGGUCUGAGAGGACGACCAGCCACACUGGGACUGAGACACGGCCCAGACUCCUACGGGAGGCAGCAGUGGGGAAUUUUGGACAAUGGGCGAAAGCCUGAUCCAGCAAUGCCGCGUGAGUGAAGAAGGCCUCGGUUGUAAGACGUCUUUAGUUAAGUAAGAAAGGUUAGU
rnacentral:rRNA from 1 species